AUCUACAGCAAAGAGCUGUUUUCAAAACUUAAUACAGUAAUAUAUCAAAAAUACAGUAACAUACUGUAAACUAGUUAAGAUACAGUAACAUACUGUACAAGCAAGGCAUUCUGGGAUUGGUUUGAACGAGGAAGUAAGAGCGGUGCAAGUUGAGCAGAGGUUUUGAUUCAGAAAACCACAUUAGAACAUUUAGAACUUCUCUUACGUCCUGUUAAUUAUGUUAUAGCUUAUAAUUAUUUAUCUUUUUUAUCACUUCGCCUAUUUAGUUCAUUUAUUUUUAAUAUUAUUCAUUUUGCACUUUCCAUUGUUGAGUGAGACCGGGAACAGCGUGAGGCAGGAGAAUUGAAAGUUCCAGAAACAAUUCAUUACCGUUUUGACUUGAAUGAUGUCUGAGUUACAAAAAGAGAUUAAGCAAACCUUACUGUGAGUAAUACCAGGCCUUCCUGAUGAGCCACUCAAUCAGUCAGUUGAGAAAUGUGUAGGCUGAGGAGUAGAAGAUUUAAUGUACGUGAAAGAAGAGGACAUCUUAAGAGUUCAUACAACCUGUCCAGUGCCAAACUGUUCAGCGCCUGGAAAGAUCACGAACAAAGAAGCAGCAUUUUGGUUCAGUAAUUAGUUUGACCGAGGUCUCCUCAAAAUUCACCACAAAUGAGCUCCUCAGGCUCCUCAGUAAGAAAAUAGAUGGACUCACACUUCAAGCAGAUGCAUUUGCCACUUCAGCAAACACUCAACUUGCCUGACAGUCCUUAAAUUAUAAUUCUUGGUCAAACUCUAAGCAACCAGCAGUGGAUGGUGAGCAUUGAAGGCCACGUUGUAUGUGAGGGAACACAACUCAGCUUUGUCUCUGGCCGUACUGCUGUGUUUGCUUCAUGGGUGGACACUUUUUCUUUGGUGUCGUUUCUUGUGACUGAAGACAGAGAAAGCAAAAUUAAAGUUAGAAAUAUUCUUUAUUCAUACACACCAGGAAAAGGUUAAAUGGCAGAGAAACACAGCCCUAGGACACUGCCCUUCAUCUGAACCGAGGGGCCCGUGUCCCCCAUUCGUAUGGGGCUUUACGACUUUAGUUAGAUAAACAUUAUCAAAUAAUCUAAGGGUGGAGGACAUCUGUUGGGGCCUGAUGAGUCCACACCCGUUAGUCGCCCAAGAAGUAGCACUUGUCACGUACACUAUAAGCAUGCAGCGCCUGCAUGACUCCUACCACACACCCCAUAGAACAUGCUUUCUGUCACGUACAUCAGAUUUGUCAAGCACAAGUUAUUGACCUGUAUUUUUUAUUUUUCCACACAUGUUAUAAUUUUAACUUCCAAUUUAGGAAGAGACUGCAAGCACCCUUGAAUUUGUUCAAAGGUAAAACAUUGGCUUAUUUUCCAUACAUACAUUUUCAUUAAAACUGACUUACACUUCCAUCAGACUUUAUUACACACUGCCUGUAAAAUGUUUGCACACUCCUCUUAGACACACAGUCAGCUUAUUCUCCUUCUCAUACCCUAUAAAAUUGUUGUGACACACUAUUAACCACCCUGACACACACCAUGAUAUUUUUUCUAUAAAUUAAAUCGGUUAAAAGUAAAUAUUGGCAAAUUCAGUUAUGUACUUGAAUCUUUUUAAGAGAAUGCAAAUUGUUGAGAGAGCAGGAACUAAGGAACUGUUUUGAAGAUGUGUUAUGGGCUCACCUUCCCACAUGAACCUGAAGAGGAACCAUUGUAGUCAUGACAAAGUGAAUGAUUUUUUUUUUAUUUUAUAAAUAAUUAAGUACAUGUGUUUUUCUUUCUUUUUGUCAUUAAGAUGAUAUAUUGACAUCAACCUUGAACAAAUGUUCAAGGCCAAUCAAGGAAAAGCUACAUCCAAGAAGACUAGCCGAGUAGUCCAUAACAAGAAGAACGCAGUAAACCCUCAUUUUUCCUGUCUACUUUGUAAGAUAAUGGACUUUGAACAGAAUUCAUCCAAGACCACUUUGUUCACUUUUAAUUUUGACAGUUUAGGCAUUUUUUGUCUAACAUGGUGUUCUUAUUCUAUUUUAAUGUGAAGGUCAACAUUGGUGUUAUACUUUUAAAUUUAGUAUUGAAUGCUGCACUAUGUUUAUUGCCAGUGUUUCCCACCUCUGUUGCAACCAUUUGUGUUUAUCUGAAAUAAUGAAAGACUGCUAACAAUUAAAAAAACUGGUAAUGUAAAAAGCUAAUCAAGACCAUAAAAAUAAAUGUUUAUUGGAAUGUUUCAAAUGAAAGAAGCAUUAUUUGUUUAAAUGAAUCUGUGAGUAAAUAUUGCAAUGUAAUGUCCUUAUCAAUGCUGUAGUGACACUAUAAAAUGGUAUUCACAGCAUGGCCAAUGUAAAAAUACAAUACAUAACUAUAGAAAAUACAGUUCAUUUUCUCAUGCAAUUUUACAGU